rnacentral:lncRNA from 1 species
UCUAUCAAUAGGUUAGGGUGUUAAGAUUAAGUAUGACUCGCUCGUAUAAUUGCACACACUAGAGAAUUGACUUAUCUUCUUAAAAGUGUUUAAUGGCUAAUGGGAAUCAUGACUUGUAGGUAAAUAUAUAUAAUAUAUACAUGGUUUAAAAAUAUUAUAAUAGUUAUGCUAGCGAUCAACAGGGUCUUGAACCCCACAUUAUUAGACAGAAAAUGGUUGGAUGGCUUUGGUGAUGGAUAUGGUUAGGGCAGAAAAUACACCGGAUCAAAACACACAUAACAAAAUGAAUCUAAAGUGAUCAAAACCAAAAUUGUCGAUCCUAAUCCAAUCUCGAGAAUUAACUAACCAACUUAAUUCCGGUUAAUUUGGUAUCUAUCCUCUUUAACCAAAGAAACACGGGACUAAAUAGAGCAAAGGGACAAGUAAUACCUCCUAGUCCAAUGUAACUUGUUCUUAUCUCACCAUCAUUUCUCACCUCUCUCUCCCGGUAUCCUCACAACACCUCUACUUUGUUUCUACAAACCCCUCCCCGCGCGCACUCCUAUUCAUGGCAAGCCAACAAGCCGCCUGAUAUCAACCCCUUUGUUCCUCUUCGUAGAACGCGAGGGAAAGAC